CUACCUUACCCUGAGGACUUGGACAUUCCAGCAUAUCGCAGAACCGGAAUUCAGCUCCCAUUGCCCACAAGUUUCAUAGAAAUGAUCCCUUCGUAACUCAGCAGCUCAUAUACGGAAUCUCCCUAUCUUUGAACCUUCAGGAUUUUGCAGUGAUGUCAAGGUAUACACCCAUGUCUUCACUCCCAGAGCAUUGAUUACAACAGAAGGCGUCUAAAGGAUGAGGCAAAAGUGAAAGCCAGAUUAUGGUCAUGGAUGAAUCCAUGCAUUAGAUGAGUAUGUGAAGUGGAUAUGGAGAGCACAUAAGAACCAAGAGCAGACAGAGCCCUAAGGAAAGACCUGGCUGACCUGCCGGAAGGAAAAUAGGUAUGAAAACCAUACUUCAGAGGAUUAUGUAUCAAGAAAGUUGGGGUCUAGGUGAUAGUCUUGUGAUUUGGUUGAAUUAAAAUGAAUGCAGCACUUCCAGCCCUGCAGUCAUUCAGGAGUCCCCAACUUACUACCAGUGGGAGCCAGGUUGAGAACACACAGACCUCCCAGCCAGCUGUCUCAUCUGCUAGAAUGACAGAUGCUGUGGGGAUAUGGCCAGAA
rnacentral:lncRNA from 1 species